rnacentral:lncRNA from 1 species
CUUCUGCUUUGGCCGUGAUACAAUAGUAGCGACGCGAAGCCAAUCUUUUUUGCGCCUGGCCUCCUCCGCAUCCUCCCCUCCUUCCCCGAUGGUCCUGCCUCCUCCGCGCCUCCCCCAAGCCGGUCUUGCCUCCUUCGGAUGGCCGCAGCAGCGGGGCGGAACUGGUUGGGGCUCACGGUGGAUGGCGGGGAGGACGGCGGUG